rnacentral:rRNA from 1 species
AUUGAACGCUGGCGGCAGGCCUAACACAUGCAAGUCGAGCGGAGCGGCGGACGGGUGAGUAAUGCCUAGGAAUCUGCCUGGUAGUGGGGGAUAACGUCCGGAAACGGGCGCUAAUAUCGCAUACUAUCAGAUGAGCCUAGGUCGGAUUAGCUAGUUGGUGGGGUAAAGGCCUACCAAGGCGACGAUCCGUAACUGGUCUGAGAGGAUGAUCAGUCACCAGGGAACUGGGACACGGCCCAGACGCCUACGGGAGGCGGCAGUGGGGGAUAUUGGACAAUGGGCGAAAGCAUGAUGCAGCGACGCCGCGUGGGGGAUGAAGGCUUGCGGGUUGUAAUACUCUGUCGCGAUCGAACGGGUAGGUGGAGAAGAAGCGCCGGCUAACUACGUGCCAGCAGCCGCGGUAAUAC